rnacentral:rRNA from 1 species
GUUAACCUCGGAUUAGGUAGGGAUACCCGCUAAACUUAAGCAUAUUAAUAAGCGGAGGAAAAGAAACUAAUAGGGAUUGCCCUAGUAACGGCGAGUAAAGCGGCAAUAGCUUAAAUUUGAAAUCUAGCCCCCCCCGCG